UUGGAGGGCAAGUCUGGUGCCAGCAGCCGCGGUAAUUCCAGCUCCAAUAGCGUAUAUUAAAGUUGUUGCAGUUAAAAAGCUCGUAGUUGAAUUUCGGGAUCAGUACGCUGGUCGUGCCUUCGGUAUGCACUGGUGUCACUGGUUCCUCCCUUCUGACGAACCGUCAUGCCAUUCACUUGGUGUGGCGGGAAAUCAGGACUGUUACUUUGAAAAAUUAGAGUGUUUAAAGCAGGCUCACGCUUGAAUACAUUAGCAUGGAAUAAUGAAAUAGGACGUUGAUCUUAUUUUGUUGGUUUCUAGGAUUGACGUAAUGAUUAAUAGGGAUAGUUGGGGGCAUUAGUAUUCAAUUGUCAGAGGUUAAAUUCUUGGAUUUAUUAAAGACUAACUACUGCGAAAACAUUUGCCAAGGAUGUUUUCAUUAAUCAAGAACGAAAGUUAGGGGAUCGAAGACGAUCAGAUACCGUCGUAGUCUUAACCAUAAACUAUGCCGACUAGGGAUCGGAUGAUGUUAAUUUUUAAUGUACUCAUUCGGC
rnacentral:rRNA from 1 species